rnacentral:rRNA from 1 species
GUGGGUUCGCCCACCACUAGGACAAACAUAAACCUUUUGUAAUUGCAAUCAGCGUCAGUAACAAAUUAAUAAUUACAACUUUCAACAACGGAACUUCUUGGUUCUGGCAUCGAUGAAGAACGCAGCGAAAUGCGAUAAGUAGUGUGAAUUGCAGAAUUCAGUGAAUCAUCGAAUCUUUGAACGCACAUUGCGCCCUUUGGUAUUCCAAAGGGCAUGCCUGUUCGAGCGUCAUUUGUACCCUCAAGCUUUGCUUGGUGUUGGGCGUCUUGUCUCUAGCUUUGCUGGAGACUCGCCUUAAAGUAAUUGGCAGCCGGCCUACUGGUUUCGGAGCGCAGCACAAGUCGCACUCUCUAUCAGCAAAGGUCUAGCAUCCAUUAAGCCUUUUUUUCAACUUUUGACCUCGGAUCAGGUAGGGAUACCCGCUGAACUUAAG